GCAUCGAUGAAGAACGCAGCGAAAUGCGAUACGUAAUGUGAAUUGCAGAAUUCAGUGAAUCAUCGAGUCUUUGAACGCACAUUGCGCCCCUUGGUAUUCCGGGGGACAUGCCUGUCCGAGCGUCAUUGCUGCCCUCAAGCACGGCUUGUGUGUUGGGCCCCGUCCUCCUUCCCGGGGGACGGGCCCGAAAGGCAGCGGCGGCACCGCGUCCGGUCCUCGAGCGUAUGGGGCUUUGUCACCCGCUCUUGUAGGCCCGGCCGGCGCUUGCCGACAACCAUCAAUCUUUUUUCAGGUUGACCUCGGAUCAGGUAGGGAUACCCGCUGAACUUAAGCAUAUCAAUAAGCGGAGGA
rnacentral:rRNA from 1 species